CCCAGAUUUGAGCUGUUUGUUCCAGACCAGGACUCUGGCUGAGGAGCGCUGAUGGAGGAGCCAAGACUCUGGAGGACGACAUCACUCUACCAACAAGGAUCCUCGUCAGUUUGCAACCAGGAAUCUGGAGUACUGACGGAGAAGCCAUACAUCUGGAAGGCAAACCCUGAGGAUGACCAGGACUCUACCAUCAAGGAUUCCUCGUAAUUUUGCAUUAUCUGGACCUGGUGGACCAGACACACCUGAGCUGAACCUCACCUGAUCCUGUUUGGUCGGGGUCAGACUCACCUGAGCUGAACCCCACCUGAUCCUGCUGGUCCCGUCUCCUCAGUUCAUCUUAGCCUCGUCUUCCAGAAGACCUGCUGAACUCAGCGGUCUGAUCCUGAUGGAUCAAUGACCUCCAGUGGGAGUGAUCUUCUUGACCCCACAUGUACCUGUGUGCUUCCACACGCCUUACCCUCACGUCUGUCACUAACCUCACUACUUCACUAAUCUCUAAUCCUUACCUUCUUCUUCCUUCUCCGUGGUUCGAACCUUUACUCUGAAGGAGUGUCUUCUUGAACCUUUACACUGAAGGAACGUCUUCCUGCCCUCAGAGGGUUCAGCGUUAGGGUUGAGAGUCAGGGUUUAGAGUCAGGGACAGAGCUGGUCAGGGAGGACUGGUUUUACACAAACCUCUUCACUUGCUUUUGUGAAUGGUGUGACAUUUUGAAAUGAUUAAUUUGGGAAAAUGUUUUCCUCUGCUUUCCUUUACAAAAGUAUGUAUUCAACUUCUGUCAAGUGUUUUUGUUUAUACUGUAUAUUAAAAACCUACAUUGACUUCUGC
ensembl:lncRNA